rnacentral:lncRNA from 1 species
CUCGCCGAUGUUGCAUCACCAUUGCUGAGGCUGUGGAGUGGCUAAGCAGUAGGAUUAUGCCAGCAACCGAGUUCCCUGAAUUCAGCUCCCUACUUAUGUGAGAUUCCAGCAAAAGCAAAUCUCCAGGGCUAGAUGGGUAUGAAGAUGUCCAUUUCAGUAAAGCCUUAAAGCAGUUGAAAGCAGGAUGUAAGCUGGACUCCAUCAGGCCCCAUCUUCACUGAAGGAUAGGAAAUAUGGAUGUGAAAACAGAGAUUAUAAGAUAAUGAAGGUCUUGACUGGCUUGCAAGUCUGAUUGGCAACCAAGGUAGGUGCCAAGCAUAUGUAUCACAAACUAAUGCUGGCUAGUACUGGCAUGCUCUGUGGAGGAUCCGUA